UACGUAGGGUGCAAGCGUUAAUCGGAAUUACUGGGCGUAAAGCGUGCGCAGGCGGUUCGCUAAGACAGAUGUGAAAUCCCCGGGCUUAACCUGGGAACUGCAUUUGUGACUGGCGGGCUAGAGUAUGGCAGAGGGGGGUAGAAUUCCACGUGUAGCAGUGAAAUGCGUAGAGAUGUGGAGGAACACCGAUGGCGAAGGCAGCCCCCUGGGCCGACACUGACGCUCAUGCACGAAAGCGUGGGGAGCAAACAGG
rnacentral:rRNA from 1 species